ensembl:lncRNA
GAAGAAUGUGGCCAGAAGCUCCAGGGGGGACAGGGCACUGCAGACCUUGGGAGCUCAGGCUGACGCUGAGGCUGUGGCACCAUCACCUGGCUUGUGAGGUCUGGAAAGGGAAGACUGGAGGGUGCAGGGAGAGGGAGGACAUGGGCCUGGGGGCUAGAGGAGGGGGCCACGUUGGCACAGAGGGGCUCCCUAGGCAGAGGACACAGGUUGGAUGGCACCCGUGCAGCUGGCACCAGGGCUGGGGCCUGGCACCUGGUCAGCUGACUGCAGGGUGCGGAAGGGGUAUGGUGUGGGCCCUGCUGGGUCAGGACCGGCUGUUAUGGCACAGUGUGGGAGGUGUAGGGUGUAGGUGUGGAGGAGCAGGUCAGGGCACAGGGUCGGUGGGUGCAGCAUGAGGGUUGCAGGCUAGGGUAGGCUGAAAGGUCAGGCUGCAGAGCCCGCUGGGUUGGACAGUCCAGGGACGGAUGGCCCAUUUCCCGGGGCACUCUGUGGCCUGGUCACUGAAGACCCUCUGGGCCUCUCCCUCUCUGGGGGGUCCUGGGGGUUUAGACCUUCCGUUCGGGUCACCAGGGAGAUCAGUGGGCCUUCUUUGGGAGCUGAGUCCCCAUUGGCCCACGGAUUCCCCUCUCAGUCUUGCCCAGGGGAGGGAGGAAGGAGGAAGAAGACUGCUCCGCCUUGGAGCCCUUUUCAACAGCAGUAGCAUGGGUGGGCAGGCUUCUGUGCUGUCACUGCCCCUCUUCCCCUCUGACUCUGCCACUGACCCGCCACCUGCCCCUGGGCUCCAGCUGCACACGGAAUGUGCCGAGUCUAGAGGCCAGGACUGUGUGGCUUUGCAAGACAGGCAAUAUCUGAGGAAUCGGCCUUCAGUUUCCCAGUGCGUGACCCCCGCAAGGUCUCUUGGGGUGGGGGGGGGGCUCUCACAGCCAAAGGAGGCCUCCCUAUGGCUUCUCAGUUGGAGACGGGAAGCUGGGUUUCCUGCCAGGUUUCCUGCAAAACUAGAUAUGGAGGACUUAAGGGAACUGCUGUACAAAAACCCUGGCAGGCAAAUGGAAGGCAGACGAUGGGGAAAAUCUGAGCAGGGCUGUGCAGCGCAGAGCCUCGGAGGCACGCCCAAGGCCUCCUCGAUUGUGCAUUUGCCACGGUAUUCUUCUGGAGCCCCUCACCCCCAGCGAGCUGAGUCUCCACUUGUACCGCCUGCCUGGGGCCCGUGGCCCUCAAGCUGCGCUCGCUGUGGGCAGGGGCUUGGCCAUCUGGCCUCUUGCCAGAGGAGUGGUGCACUCGAGGAUUACAGCUGCGUCCCAUCCCCACGAGGGCCAGCUAUCCAGGAAGCUCUCCGUCUGCACUGGGCACAGCGUGGGAAGCCCCUUCACCGCAUGUUCAACCAGAAGAGCUGUGGGGGAGUCUGUGGCAAUCCUGUGUGGGCGCGAGGAUUGGGAAAGACGCUUAGGUGCUGCAGGGAGCCGUGAGCAAGCGGAAGAGCUGCCAGGGGGGACCCCAGACCCUGCCCCGUGACUGUGCUGGAGCACUGGGCUGGCUGGGUCUUGCUGCCCUCUCCUGCCCCUCUGAGGGCCGCCAGGGGCGGACAGUUCGCUUCAGCUGCAGCCUGGGCCGUCUGGGACUUGCCGGCCACCCCUUGCCACGUGCUGCUCACCGGGCAGGCCCAUGACCCCACGCAGGGGCCCAGAUGUCCCGAGCCGCCUCCCUGCCAGGCGGCGGAGUAGCCCUGAAGCCACGUGCCCCGUCACCGGUGUCUGGUGCUCCCUGUCCACCUGCCCUCCCCUAAGCCCCUGCGUCACCACCGUUCCAUUUUCAACUGGAGAACUGGGACACUAGAAGCCUCCCGGUCCCUGUCCCCUCUGCGGUGCAGAGGCCGCCGCGGGGCUCGCUUUUGUGAUGCCGGAAGGUUUGGCCAACAUUUUCAUACAAGUCCAGCUGACGGUGCUGAGGAGGCCAGCGCUCUGCCCGGGAGGCGGCUGGCUGGGGCUAGGCGCACUCGGCGGGCCUGGGAGCACAGAGCCAGUCCUGAGGCUGGGACCUGGGCUUGCGGGGCAGAGCCGCCAGUCUAGUCCUCUCCCGGCCUCGCCCUCGGCCCCGCCCAGUGCUCUGGCUUCCCGCAGUGGCUCUCACCUAUGGGCCCGGCAGAUCCUGCCGCCGCACCCCAGGCAUCCAGGAAGGCGGCUGUGCGAUCGGGGCUGGGUCCGCCAGGAGGCAGGGGGCCGCGCCCCGUGGAGGGCGCCCCCGGAGUGGCCGCGGGUCGGCGCUGCCUGUCACCCGCACCUGGCUGUCCCCACCGACCCUGCCGGAUUCUCGCUCAAACUGGGCCUCCCCAUGGGCCUCCGGCGGCACCGCAGCCUGACGCCCGCCUGGGGCGUGGAGCCCUUCCUCAGGAGGCGCCUGCGUGUCUGUCCUUUUGGGACAAGAUCUGGCCGGCGGAGGAGCCAGAGGACGACGUCCCGGCGGCGCCGGGCCCCGACGCUGAGCCGCGAGCGCAGCUCUUCCGCGCGCUCCGCGACUUCGCGGCUCGCUGCCGCGGGGACCGGGAGGCGAACUGCGUCUUCGCCCGCGGGCUCUCCGGCCGACCCAGCGCCGGGCUGGUGCCCAUCACCUACGCGGCCGCGGCUGCUCCGGAGACGCUUGCAGAGCAGCCCCCAGCUACAGAAUAACUCCAGUUUGGCGUCCAGUCGCAACUGAGACUUCAGUGGUCCAGUGAUGCUGUGAUUCUCCAGGACAAGAAACAUCCUGGGAGCUGAAAACACCCUGGGAGAACAAACAUCUGCUCAGUUCCUCAUUGUUCUUGGACUGUUAACAUCUUCUUUACCCAGGAUGUACUUGAACUCUCUGCAAGCCUUUUGUUACACCUUGUUUAUCCCAAUGUGAACUAUUGAACUCUAUAUUUCAUUUGUUACAUUUGUUUCUCCCGAUGUACUGAAUAGAAGGUGUGGUAAGCUGGGGGCUUUUGUCUUUGUUUCCCAGAGCAGCACUGAUCAGACCCAAAGCUCAGCUUCUUCUCAGUCUCAUUUGUCUACCUUUCCUGUAAUUCGCUGUGUGCUGCUGUAGCUCACAGGAGACCAGGACUCACUGCAGAGGUUCUGCCGGUACUUGAGUGGGAUCAGCCGGUCCCACGCCCAGCAGCUCCUCUUGUGCCCUGCCAGCGAACCAGGGGCCUUCCUUAAUCGGCCCAGAGAGAGCAGCCUCGGGGGCUUCUCACUCUCAGUCCUAGCCAAGGCCAAAGUCUGCCACUACCGAAUUUGUACAGCGCCCCCGCAGCAGCCUCUACCUACAGGAGGGCCAGCGAGCCUUCCCCAGUCUGGAGGAGCUGCACGCCUACUACAAGGCCAACUGGAAGCUGACCUAGAACCCCCUGCUGCAGCCCUGUGUGCCCCAGAAGCCCCCGGCACAGGACAAGUGGGAGCGGCCACGCUCGGAAUUUGUCCUCUGGAGGAAGUUGGUGAAGGCUGCUUUGGGGAGGGUGUGGGAAGGCCUGUGGCUGGGCUCUGUGCCUCUAGUGGUCAGCGUCAUCAAGCCAGGUGAGGCGGUGCUACCCCAAGUCCCCCAGCCAGGCCUGGGCCAAUGCCCACUGCCCUCUGACCCUGGGGACGCCAGGGGCAGGGGCAGCGGUGGCCUGGGCAGUCCUGGAGCAGAGGCCUCUCCUGCAGCUGACAUGAAGCUGGCCGGAAUUCACCAAGGAGAUCGCGGCUCUGAAGAGCCUGCGUGCAUGAGCGGCUCAUGUGGCUGCAUGUGGUGUGCUUUCCACAGGGGAGCCCGUGUAUAUCAUCACUGAGGUCCUGUGCAAGGGCAGCCUGCAGGCGUACCUGGGCAGUGGCCGAGGCCAUGAGCUACUUGGAGGGAGUGGCACAUCGUCCACCGAGACCUGGCCGCCAGGAAUGUGCUCGUGGGCAAUGACCUCACCUUUGGCCUGGCCCG